UGAUGAUGAUGAGGGAAGCUAAUUAACAUCGAUUUAAACCUGUCCCAAGCUUGGUACAAGUUUUCUCUACCUUUCUGUCUGAAACCUAAGCUAUCACUCCUCAACUU